ACAUGCAACGAGCUAGCACAGGAAGCAUAACGCAGCUCGUGCGCGUUGAGAGACUACGAGCUUUGCUUACUACCAUCACCGGGCCAUGGGAGAUCCACUGCAUGCCCUGGGAUGCACAUUACGUCGCAAACUCCCCGCAAAACUUGCCUGAUCCGGCGUUUGAGCAAGAUAACUUAACAACGAAGACCGGCGCCUGGCGGGACACGUUAUCGUCAAUCAUAACUCUGCAGGCGGUGCCCGCCUCGCGUUCUCUGUUCAGUCUUUAAUGCAGAUAGUAUGUAGCAGAGCUGUCUAAAUUAAUCAAUAUGUAAGCCGUAAGUCGUCUGGAAGAAAUUGUCUCCGGAAACACCGGAAAGUCUUCAGAGCCGAAUUAGGUGUCAGUAGAUGGUGUGUCAACGGUGUUAAGAAAAUGUUACAUUGUGUGUGAAUAAGGUAUCCAUUGUUAUCUAUUUAGAUUUGUUUGAAUAAAAGUUGUGAAAU